rnacentral:misc_RNA from 1 species
AAAAAAACUCCAUGAAUCAAUUUAUCAAAGGCCAAAAAACUCAAAUCUCUACACAGAAGAGAAAAAAAUACAAUUUAAAAUUUUCCUUUCCUUACAUAUUUUCUCUAUAAUAAAGCAGAAAAAAGCAAUAAACCUAAACUCAUAUGAUGAAAAUCAAGACCCAUAGCUACAAUCGACACUGGUGGAGCUUCCACAGCGAAACACUUCCAAGUCAUACACUUGCAUGGUGAAACCCAUAGACAAAACCAGCAACAGCUGCAGAUGUUGAGCUUCCAUGGCGAAACACUUCGAAGUCAAUUCUGCUUCCACAGUGAAGCUCAACUCAACUAAGCGUUUAUCCAAAAAAUUUGGGA